rnacentral:rRNA from 1 species
GAAUCGCAUGGCCUUGUGCGCGGCGAUGGUUCAUUCAAAUUUCUGCCCUAUCAACUUUCGAUGGUAGGAUAGUGGCCUACCAUGGUUUCAACGGGUAACGGGGAAUUAGGGUUCUAUUCCGGAGAGGGAGCCUGAGAAACGGCUACCACAUCCAAGGAAGGCAGCAGGCGCGCAAAUUACCCAAUCCCGACACGGGGAGGUAGUGACAAUAAAUACUGAUAUAGGGCUCUUUUGGGUCUUGUAAUUGGAAUGAGUACAAUUUAAAUCCCUUAACGAGGAACAAUUGGAGGGCAAGUCUGGUGCC